CAGAAAGACCCUAUGAAGCUUUACUGUAACUUGAGAUUGAAAUUGGACUUUAUUUGCGCAGUAUAGGUGGGAGACCUUGAUAGUAUUCUUGCGGGAAUAUUGGAGUCAUCAGUGAGAUACCACUCUUGUAAUGUUAGAUUUCUAACUUUGUAUCAUUAUCUGGUCAAAGGACAGUUUCAGGCGGGCAGUUUGACUGGGGCGGUCGCCUCCCAAACGGUAACGGAGGCGCACAAAGGUUUCCUCUGAACGUGUAGAAAUCGUAUCUAGAGUGUAAAGGCAUAAGGAAGCUUGACUGUGAGACCUACAAGUCGAGCAGGGACGAAAGUCGGUCUUAGUGAUCUGACGGUGCUGAGUGGAAAGGCCGUCACUCAACGGAUAAAAGUUACUCUAGGGAUAACAGGCUGA
rnacentral:rRNA from 1 species